AUUGAACGCUGGCGGCAGGCUUAACACAUGCAAGUCGAGCGAGCGGCGGACGGGUGAGUUAUGUCUGGGAAACUGACUGAUGGAUGGGGAUAACUACUGGAAACUGUAGCUGCUACCGCAUACCAUCAGAUGUGCCCAGAUGGGUUUAGCUAGUAGGUGGGGUAAUGGCUCACAUAGGCGACGAUCCCUAGCUGGUCUGAGAGGCUGACCAGCCACACUGGAACUGAGACACGGUCCAGACUCCUACGGGAGGCAGCAGUGGGGAAUAUUGCACAAUGGGCGCAAGCCUGAUGCAGCCAUGCCGCGUGUGUGAAGAAGGCCUUCGGGUUGUAAAGCACUUUCAGCGAGGAGGCGUUACUCGCAGAAGAAGCACCGGCUAACUCCGUGCCAGCAGCCGCGGUAAUAC
rnacentral:rRNA from 1 species